AGAAAAGAGUUGUCCUGAAGCCGUUGACGGCCGCGGACGAGCAUGGCUGCUCUACAUCCGGGGUUUCGCCGUCACUUCAUUUUGCUCAAAGGGUCCUGUGCAGCAACGGGGACGCCAUUGAGUGUCGUUGGCGUGUCGACCACUUCCCAGCUUUCUGUUGGUCUCCCACCCACCAGCAAACUGAAAACCUGCUGGAGCAAUCCUGGCGUAUUUCCCAAUAAGCUGUAGACUUGUGAUUCAAGCUGGAAGACACAAACCACUCAUAUGACCAAAAGGUUGAUGCUUUCAAUGCAUUGGAAGUUCCAGCAUGUUUCCAGUUCCAGUGAAUUCCAAUUCUUCAUGCAUUAUUGAUUUCACGAAAACACACACACACACACACACACACACACACACACACACACACACACACACGUCUUGUCAUGUACACAGACAUGCCGUUUUAUUCAUAGUUAUUUUGUUUGGGUUGUUUAUGUUUCUAUACCAAUAUAAUUAUUAUUAUUUGGAGUAAUUUUUCUUUCAAAUAAAAGAUUGAACCAUUCAA